CCUACGGGUGGCAGCAGUGAGGAAUAUUGGUCAAUGGGCGGGAGCCUGAACCAGCCAAGUCGCGUGAAGGAAGAAGGUACUUAGUAUUGUAAACUUCUUUUGUCGGGGAACAAAGGCGGAGACGCGUCUCCGGAUGAGUGUACCCGAAGAAAAAGCAUCGGCUAACUCCGUGCCAGCAGCCGCGGUAAUACGGAGGAUGCGAGCGUUAUCCGGUUUUAUUGGGUUUAAAGGGUGCGCAGGCGGCCUGUUAAGUCAGCGGUAAAAGCCCGGGGCUCAACCCCGGCGAGCCGUUGAAACUGGCGGGCUGGAGUUGGAGAGAAGUACGCGGAAUGCGCGGUGUAGCGGUGAAAUGCUUAGAUAUCGCGCAGAACCCCGAUUGCGAAGGCAGCGUACCGGCUCCACACUGACGCUGAGGCACGAAAGCGUGGGUAUCGAACAGGAUUAGAUACCCUUGUAGUC
rnacentral:rRNA from 1 species